CAAGUCGAACGAGAAAGGGUAGCAAUACCUGAGUAAAGUGGCGCACGGGUGAGUAACACGUGACUAACCUACCCUGGAGUGGGGGAUAACUGAGGGAAACCUUAGCUAAUACCGCAUAACACCUACGGGUCAAAGGAGCAAUUCGCUUCAGGAGGGGGUCGCGGCCGAUUAGUUAGUUGGCGGGGUAAUGGCCCACCAAGACAGUGAUCGGUAUCCGGCCUGAGAGGGCGCACGGACACACUGGAACUGAAACACGGUCCAGACUCCUACGGGAGGCAGCAGUGGGGAAUUUUGCGCAAUGGGGGGAACCCUGACGCAGCAACGCCGCGUGGAGGAUGAAGUACUUCGGUACGUAAACUCCUUUCGAUCGGGACGAUUAUGACGGUACCGGAAGAAGAAGCCCCGGCUAACUUCGUGCCAGCAGCCGCGGUAAUACGAGGGGGGCAAGCGUUGUUCGGAAUUAUUGGGCGUAAAGGGUGCGUAGGCGGUUUUGUAAGUCUUGUGUGAAAUCUUCAGGCUCAACUUGAAGACUGCACGAGAAACUGCAGGGCUUGAGUGUGGGAGAGGUGAGUGGAAUUCCUGGUGUAGCGGUGAAAUGCGUAGAUAUCAGGAGGAACACCUGUGGCGAAAGCGGCUCACUGGACCACAACUGACGCUGAUGCACGAAAGCUAGGGGAGCAAACAGGAUUAGAUACCCUGGUAGUCCUAGCCCUAAACGAUGACUGCUUGGUGUGACGGGUACCCAAUCCCGCCGUGCCGUAGCUAACGCGUUAAGCAGUCCGCCUGGGGAGUACGGUCGCAAGGCUGAAACUCAAAGGAAUUGACGGGGGCCCGCACAAGCGGUGGAGCAUGUGGUUUAAUUCGACGCACCGCGAAGAACCUUACCUGGGCUCGAAAUGGAGUGGAACCGGAGUAGAAAUAUUCCUUCCC
rnacentral:rRNA from 1 species